rnacentral:rRNA from 1 species
AGGUGGCGAGCGUUGUCCGGAAUUACUGGGUGUAAAGGGAGCGUAGGCGGGUACGCAAGUUGAAUGUGAAAACUAUGGGCUCAACCGAUAGUUGCGUUCAAAACUGCGAAUCUUGAGUGAAGUAGAGGCAGGCGGAAUUCCUAGUGUAGCGGUAAAAUGCGUAGAUAUUAGGAGGAACACCAGUGGCGAAGGCGGCCUGCUGGGCUUUAACUGACGCUGAGGCUCGAAAGUGUGGGGAGCAA